UGUCCCGCAAACUGCCCCGCUCGUUCGUCCUACAUUGUCCAGGCUCUCCCCCUGCGUCAUGAAUAAGGAGGCUGUUACCGCCUGUUGUUUGUCAAUGGAUGGCCCUCACUGCUUGGGGAAAACACUUGAAACUUGCCAGGGAGACACGGAACAUGAAGGACACUGGCAUCGUCUCCGUCUCUUCCCUCCUGAAUUUGACGCCACUCUAUCCACUGAAUCGUUAACUCUGAAGAUAAAGGAUGUGAUACAUCUUAUCGAUCAGGAUUCAUCAAUUCUUUUCAAGCUCUUAUCUCUUAAGUGCAAAUCCCGUCUCAAGUGGAGACGGUGUUGUUAUAAAUCCAUCAAAACCACCCCCUCCCGCCCGGAGUGGCGACAGCUGCCGGGCUGCCUUGGUGGAGAAGUGGAGAGAGCCGCCGGCUCUUAAUCAAGUUCUACAUCCAUGGAGGAGGGCGCCAGAAGCCGGGGUGGGAAGGUGGUCCACUUUCCCCCUUUGGGUGACUGUCGCUCCUGACACGAGUCGCGGCUACCAUGAUGCCACUCUUCAGAGAAGAUGCAAAGAGGACAACAACUUGCAAGCGGCCACCUUAAAUACCCUUUCUCAUGAUUGGCUUCGGUGCAAUGCAUGCUGGUCUGUUCGUCUUCUCUGUAUGACAAGAUGAUGUCGAUGGAUGACUCAUUGCUGUUACAGUAUGUCCUCGUCAACACGUCCAUAAUGUUUUUUCAUCUCAAAGGUCAGGGUAUAAAAAGUAAAAUGAGGCAAUACCGGACAUCAAGCCAACAACACAGAAACACACACUAAAGACAAACAUGGCGGCGCUGACCCCAGCGAUGGUAGAUGGAGCGCCAGCAGCCAUUAGCGUGGCCCCUUAUCUGCUUUAUGACUUCCUUUAUUUGUGUACUUUGACUUUCGCUGUAAAGCUCCGUCAAAUCCCCCCCUCCCCCCGUCUGCUCCCCUGUGCACCAUGGUCAAAGGUCAGAGCCCAAAUUUUGGUCAACACUUUAGCGCAUAAAGCUAAAUGGCAUUCGACCUGGUGGCGGCGCCGUUCUCUGGCUGAGUGCCCCAACCUUCCAGCUGUAGUUAAACUUUUCCAAGAGCGAAGCUGUGACUCGCUUGGCUGAAGCAGGUAUCGCAUAACCAUGUUUGAAUCCGAGUCAGGACCUUUGUAGUAUUCCCUACUCUAGGACUUCCUAUCUGUCGUAACAAUAAAAUCCAAAGACAACAAUAAUCCUGUCGAGGGCUGGACUUGAUUUACUUCUUAACUACUGUGGGUUAGGACUUAGCACAGCGGCUAACACAUUAGCAUAAUGGUCAUAGAAAUCAACUAUUCCAGGGUUACCAU